rnacentral:rRNA from 1 species
AACGCUAGCUACAGGCUUAACACAUGCAAGUCGAGGGGCAGCAUGAACUUAGCUUGCUAAGUUUGAUGGCGACCGGCGCACGGGUGAGUAACACGCAUCCAACCUGCCGAUGACUCGGGGAUAGCCUUUCGAAAGAAAGAUUAAUACCCGAUGGCAUAGUUCUUCCGCAUGGUAGAACUAUUAAAGGAUUUCGGUCAUCGAUGGGGAUGCGUUCCAUUAGCUUGUUGGCGGGGUAACGGCCCACCAAGGCAACGAUGGAUAGGGGUUCUGAGAGGAAGGUCCCCCACAUUGGAACUGAGACACGGUCCAAACUCCUACGGGAGGCAGCAGUGAGGAAUAUUGGUCAAUGGGCGAAGGCCUGAACCAGCCAAGUAGCGUGAAGGAUGACUGCCCUAUGGGUUGUAAACUUCUUUUAUACGGGAAUAAAGUGCCCUACGUGUAGGGUUUUGUAUGUACCGUAUGAAUAAGGAUCGGCUAACUCCGUGCCAGCAGCCGCGGUAAUACGGAGGAUCCGAGCGUUAUCCGGAUUUAUUGGGUUUAAAGGGAGCGUAGGCGGGCGUUUAAGUCAGUUGUGAAAGUUUGCGGCUCAACCGUAAAAUUGCAGUUGAUACUGGACGCCUUGAGUGCGGCAUAGGUGGGCGGAAUUCGUGGUGUAGCGGUGAAAUGCUUAGAUAUCACGAAGAACUCCGAUUG